rnacentral:rRNA from 1 species
UUGAACGCUGGCGGCAUGCCUUACACAUGCAAGUCGAACGGUAGAGUAGCAAUACUCGAGAGUGGCGAACGGGUGAGUAAUAUAUCGGAACGUGCCCAGUCGUGGGGGAUAACGCAGCGAAAGCUGUGCUAAUACCGCAUACGAUCUACGGAUGAAAGCAGGGGACCGCAAGGCCUUGCGCGGACGGAGCGGCCGAUGGCAGAUUAGCUAGAUGGUGAGGUAAAGGCUCACCAUGGCGACGAUCAGUAGCUGGUCUGAGAGGAUGAUCAGCCACACUGGGACUGAGACACGGCCCAGACUCCUACGGGAGGCAGCAGUGGGGAAUUUUGGACAAUGGGCGAAAGCCUGAUCCAGCCAUUCCGCGUGAGUGAAGAAGGCCUUCGGGUUGUAAAGCUCUUUCGGCAGGAACGAAACGGUGGGGUCUAAUACGCCUUACUAAUGACGGUACCUGAAGAAGAAGCACCGGCUAACUACGU